AGAGUUUGAUCAUGGCUCAGAGCGAACGCUGGCGGCAGGCCUAAUACAUGCAAGUCGAGCGGGUCCUUCGGGAUUAGCGGCGGACGGGUGAGUAACGCGUGGGAACGUGCCCUUUGGUACGGAACAACUGAGGGAAACUUCAGCUAAUACCGUAUGUGCCCUUCGGGGGAAAGAUUUAUCGCCAUUGGAGCGGCCCGCGUUGGAUUAGGUAGUUGGUGAGGUAAAGGCUCACCAAGCCUACGAUCCAUAGCUGGUCUGAGAGGAUGACCAGCCACACUGGGACUGAGACACGGCCCAGACUCCUACGGGAGGCAGCAGGUAGGGAAUCUUGCGCAAUGGGACGAAAGCCUGACGCAGCCAUGCCGCGUGAAUGAUGAAGGUCUUAGGAUUAGUAAAAUUCUUCACCGGGGACGAUAAUGACGGUACCCGGAGAAGAAGCCCCGGCUAACUUCGUG
rnacentral:rRNA from 1 species